AGGCAGCAGUGUGCGAAUAUUAGCGACAAUGGGGCGGCAAACCCUGAUGCCAGCCAUGCCGCGUGUGUUGAAGAAGGCCUUAUGGUUGUAAAGCACUUUAAGCGAGGAGGAAGGCUACUGAGACUAAUACUCUUGGAUAGUGGACGUUACUCGCAGAAUA
rnacentral:rRNA from 1 species